rnacentral:lncRNA from 1 species
GGAACAGUCUAGCAACGGCCGCCUAACAGUCACUUGGCUGGAGAGAGUCAGCAGCGAACAUGCUGUGCUGCUUUCCCAGGCCUCCAGGCCGCAGCCUCAGGACCCAGCCCAGGGAAAGCACUUGGGAGCGAGGGAGAAGAUGGAUCACUGGGUCCAGACGCUCCAGGCCACCGGCCAGGAACCUUCCUGCCCUCAUGGGCAGCCCAGGGCAGGUCUCACCAGACCCAGGCGACCACUGGCCCUGAGAUGAGAGGGAGCCCAGGGCAGGUCUCCCUGGGCCUGGCCACCACACACUGGAGCCACUGAGUCCAGGACAGGACCAUUUAGGAUUGGCCACCUCUGGCUCGGUAAACAGGGGGCCAGGGUCCUGGUGCCGAAGGAAUCCAUUUGUAGAGCUCGUGCCAGCUCCACCUGCAGCUGCCUCCCCAGCUCUGACACCACAGCCAGAGGCAGCGCCAGGAACCCCUUCUCCACCAGCUGCACAGCUGGGGAUCCUGGUGGUUGCACGGCGGGCAUCAGCUCCUGAGCUCCAGAAGGGGCAAGCUCCUGCCCCACCCCUGCCAUUCCCCUCCAUUACUCUUGGUCAUGUUUUGGCAUAUAUUUUUGCUCUUAUUUUCUG